UACGUAGGAUCCAAGCGUUGUCCGGAUUUACUGGGUGUAAAGGGUGCGCAGGCGGACUGGUAAGUCAGAAGUGAAAUCUCGGCGCUCAACGCCGAAACGUCUUUUGAUACUGUCAGUCUUGAAUAAGCGAGAGAUUCGUGGAAUUCCGAGUGUAGCAGUGAAAUGUGUAGAUAUUCGGAAGAACACCAGUGGCGAAGGCAGCGAAUUGGCGCUUUAUUGACGCUCAGGCACGAAAGCAUGGGGAUCAAACAGG
rnacentral:rRNA from 1 species